ensembl:lncRNA
UUUGGUAAUUUAAUUAAAUAUUAAGUAUGACGAGCUACAUAUAUUUUCGGCACAAUGGUCUAAUAGACCUGCUGUCAAUAGUGAGCAUGGGAACAUUUUCUCAACCAGAAAUAACUGAAUUAAAUUAAGUUAAGUCCAAUCCCCAGUGUAGACUAAUAAAGUCACAUCAAAUCAUUGUCAUCUUCCCCAUUUCUUGCUCUCGUUGGCCUCUUUGGAUGUACGACACCUAAAACCUCCUGAUACUACUGUGACCCACAGCCCAUCGGGAUAUGUAGGAACACAUCAUAUGCAUGAUAAGGCAGGCAGCGCUAAACCCGAUGGACAAAUGCAUUAGGAGAAUUGCCAUUGUAGCAGCAGGCCCAAAGUGAGACUCCCCCGCUGUAAAAGGCAAUGAUGCGCAAGCGCUGUAGAAAUUCCUCUGUGCAGAGAGCGACGUUACGUGCGGCUUCAUCCAGCGGGCCAAAAAACCAUCCUGUCACGCAAGAGCUGUGCCAUAUAAUGCCUCAUUGCUCAUCCAUUUUGUGUCAGCCGUGUUUGCGACAGAGUUCUGCUGCCGUAGAAAUAAUCGCCCACAAACGAUUUGUUUCUUUAACACUUCUCAUGUGCACGUUAAACUGAAGAGGGAAGAAAAUAGGUAAGUAAAUGAACAGCUGUUUCAUGUCAGCAGAUGAAUUUGAGUUUAUGCCUUGCUCCACUUGGUGCAGUUGCACAGAGCUCUGAGAGAUCCGCUAAAAACAAGGCAAGAAAACCGGUAAAAAAAACAAAAAAAACAAGUUAUUUACAUAUUAUCUCAAUAUUUUACGCUGUAACUUAGCUCUAAGCUUACCAGACCGCUGAUAUCGAGCUGAAACUGAGCGCUGCUCAGAAAGCCCACGUGACUCAUGCGGGACAGAAUCACAUACGUAUGUGAAAUUGACAAAAUAGAGUCAUGAGUUAUGAUGGAUCGUGUAGCAUAAAGCGGGGUGGGUAGACCAUGCUGUCCUUGAACAUAACAGAAAGAAAAAUGUCUUCAAGCUUUUGCCCUUCAUAUUAAAUCACAAAGUGACAGGCACAGCGGGGGGAUCACUUCAGCCAUUCAUCCCAGAUUCUGGAUUCUAUUACGGACGUUUCUGCUGAGUAACAUGAGUUAUGACACAGUCUUUUCAAUCAGUCCACUUAGUUUAAGCACAAUUAUUAUUUUACAAAGACGCU